UACGAAGGGGGCUAGCGUUGCUCGGAAUCACUGGGCGUAAAGCGCACGUAGGCGGACUCUUAAGUCGGUGGUGAAAUCCUGGAGCUCAACUCCAGAACUGCCUUCGAUACUGGCGAUCUUGAGUCCGGAAGAGGUGAGUGGAACUCCUAGUGUAGAGGUGGAAUUCGUAGAUAUUAGGAAGAACACCAGUGGCGAAGGCGGCUCACUGGUCCGGUACUGACGCUGAGGUGGCGAAAAGCGUGGGGAGCAAACAGGG
rnacentral:rRNA from 1 species